rnacentral:rRNA from 1 species
GAUGAACGCUGGCGGCGUGCCUAAUACAUGCAAGUCGAGCGAACAGACGAGGAGCUUGCUCCUCUGACGUUAGCGGCGGACGGGUGAGUAACACGUGGAUAACCUACCUAUAAGACUGGGAUAACUUCGGGAAACCGGAGCUAAUACCGGAUAACAUGUUGAACCGCAUGGUUCAACAGUGAAAGACGGUCUUGCUGUCACUUAUAGAUGGAUCCGCGCCGCAUUAGCUAGUUGGUAAGGUAACGGCUUACCAAGGCAACGAUGCGUAGCCGAACUGAGAGGGUGAUCGGCCACACUGGAACUGAGACACGGUCCAGACUCCUACGGGAGGCAGCAGUAGGGAAUCUUCCGCAAUGGGCGAAAUCCUGACGGAGCAACGCCGCGUGAGUGAAGAAGGUCUUCGGAUCGUAAAACUCUGUUAUUAGGGAAGAACAAAUGUGUAAGUAACUAUGCACGUCUUGACGGUACCUAAUCAGAAAGCCACGGCUAACUACGUG